rnacentral:rRNA from 1 species
GUUGAACGCUGGCGGCAUGCCUUACACAUGCAGGUCGAACGGUAACGGGCCUUCGGGUGCCGACGAGUGGCGAACGGGUGAGUAAUGCAUCGGAACGUACCUUUCAGUGGGGGAUAACGUAGCGAAAGUUACGCUAAUACCGCAUAUUCUGUGAGCAGGAAAGCAGGGGAUCGCAAGACCUUGCGCUGAUUGAGCGGCCGAUGUCAGAUUAGCUAGUUGGUGAGGUAAAGGCUCACCAAGGCGACGAUCUGUAGCGGGUAUGAGCGGAUGAUCCGCCGCACAGGAGCAGGGACUCAGUCCAGAUUCCUACGGGAGGCGGCAGUGGGGAAUUUUGGACAAUGGGGUUUGCCCUGAUCCAGCCAUGCCGCGUGAGUGAAGAAGGCCUUCGGGUUGUAAAGCUCUUACGGCCGGGAAGAAUUCGUAUGGGCUAAUACCCUGUGCGGAUGACGGUACCGGCAUAAGAAGCACCGGCUAACUACGUGCCAGCCGCCGCCGUAAUAC